GACGAACGCUGGCGGCGUGCUUAACACAUGCAAGUCGAACGGAAAGGCCCUGCUUUUGUGGGGUGCUCGAGUGGCGAACGGGUGAGUAACACGUGAGUAACCUGCCCUUGACUUUGGGAUAACUUCAGGAAACUGAGGCUACUACCAGAUAGGAGCUCCUGCUGCAUGGUGGGGGUUGGAAAGUUUCGGCGGUAGGGGCUGGACUCGCGGCUGAUCAGCUUGUUGGUUGGGUAGUGGCAUACCAAGGCAUUGACGGGUAGCCGGCCUGGGAGGGUGGCCGGCCUCAAUGGUACUGCGGGACGGCCCAGUCUCCUACAGUGGGCAGCAGGGGGGAAUAUUGUCCAAUGGGCGGAAGCCUGAUGCAGCGACGCCGCGUUCGUGAUGACGUCCUUCGGGUUGUAAACCGCUUUCGCCUGUGACGAAGCGGGAGUGACGGUAAUGGGUAAAUAAGCACCGGCUAACUACGUG
rnacentral:rRNA from 1 species